CCUACGGGAGGCAGCAGUGGGGAAUAUUGGACAAUGGGGGGAACCCUGAUCCAGCCAUGCCGCGUGUGUGAAGAAGGCCCUCGGGUUGUAAAGCACUUUCAGUGAGGAAGAACGCCUGGUGGUUAAUACCCAUCAGGAAAGACAUCACUCACAGAAGAAGCACCUGCUAACUCCGUGCCAGCAGCCGCGGUAAUACGGAGGGUGCGAGCGUUAAUCGGAAUUACUGGGCGUAAAGCGCGCGUAGGUGGCUUGAUAAGCCGGUUGUGAAAGCCCCGGGCUCAACCUGGGAACGGCAUCCGGAACUGUCAAGCUAGAGUGCAGGAGAGGAAGGUAGAAUUCCCGGUGUAGCGGUGAAAUGCGUAGAGAUCGGGAGGAAUACCAGUGGCGAAGGCGGCCUUCUGGACUGACACUGACACUGAGGUGCGAAAGCGUGGGUAGCAAACAGGAUUAGAUACCCCAGUAGUC
rnacentral:rRNA from 1 species